rnacentral:rRNA from 1 species
UACAGAGGGGGCAAGCGUUGUUCGGAAUUACUGGGCGUAAAGGGUGCGUAGGUGGUUGUUUAAGUCUGUUGUGAAAGCCCCGGGCUCAACCUGGGAAUGGCAAUGGAUACUGGGACGCUUGAGUAUGGUAGAGGUUGGUGGAACUGCGAGUGUAGAGGUGAAACUCGUAGAUAUUCGCAAGAACACCGGUGGCGAAGGCGGCUCACUGGCCCAUUACUGACGCUGAGGCACGAAAGCGUGGGGAGCAAACAGG